rnacentral:rRNA from 1 species
UACGAGGGGUGCAAGCGUUGCUCGGAAUUAUUGGGCGUAAAGGGUAGGUAGGUGGUCUCAUUUGUCUGGGUGAAAGCCUUGGGCUUAACCCAAGAAGUGCCCAGAAACGGUGAGACUUGGAGUCCUGGAGAGGGUCGUGGAAUUCCCGGUGUAGCGGUGAAAUGCGCAGAUAUCAGGAGGAACACCGGUGGCGAAGGCGGUCUCUGGGCCGUAACUGACGCUGAGGAGCGAAAGCGUGGGAGCGAACAGG